ACAACCAUUGUCUGCACAAUGAUCCCUGCACACACUCAUAUUGAGCAAUCCAUGAAUACACUUCUUUUUGCUACUUGCGCAAAGGAGCUAGUUACAAAUGCAAAGGUCAAUGUAGUCUUGUCUGACAAGGCACUACUGAAACAUCUACAGAGAGAGCAAGAUUGGAAAAUGAACUGAAAGUGCCGGAGUCAGCCUCCUGCACAAGUCAUGCUGAAGCUUUGAGAGAGAAGGAUGCACAAAUUAAAAAGGAAAUCCGCGGAACUGCAGAAAUUACAAGGUGGUUUUGACUGUAAUUUGGGUGAAUUUCCUGCAGAUGUUCUAUAAAAUUCUUGUAUACCCAGCGUGAGUACAUGGGUGACAAUCAGGUAUCAAACCUAACACAUUGAUAAGUAAUAUUGAGUGGUAAUGUACUCACUGAGUUCACAUUAUUCAGAUCUGAAAAUUUUAUUUCCUAUCAUCUAGAGGGAUGACAAAGACAUUCUUUCACAAUAUAAAGGAUUUCAGACUAUAUUAUGUUAUACAUAUACUUGAUAGAUUAAGAUUAUUACCCCAUCCCACUAAUGGUAAGAGUAAUUAUUAACCCUGGAUUACCAGUUGACUCCCUUUGUAAUUAAAUCCUAGGCUAGAAGUGAAAAGGUAGAGGAAUCUAGAAUAUGAUGCAAAAAAUAAAGAUGAGGUUUACUUUGAUGCUGUCACUAUAUUGAAUUCUUCUAUAUCCCGGAUAAGAUAUGGUAGACAUAUGUUUGUUCACAUCUUUGAUGCUAUCAAUGCCCUCUAGAUUCAAGUGCAAAUUAUUGAAUGGUUACUUCUGGUAUGCAGAAUGUGAGGAUUUUGCUGGAUAGUGAUAAUAUAAUGUACGUGUAUUGCCAUUUCCAUGAAAGUUUAGACUUGUCAUGAAUUGAGGUAUGCAUAUUUGCAGCUAUUUUUAUAACAGCGGUCCAACGAUGAUCGCUAACAGUAUUUUAAAAAAGCAAAAGUAUUUAUACACUGGAGAUGUUUAGCAUAUUUUUCUGUUUUCAAAUUGAGAUUUAGCUUAUUUUUUAUUGAGGCUAGACAUUUUCAAAAUAGAAUGUUCUUUUAUCUCAUAUCUCCGUCGAAUUAUACUUGAGACGUAGGUGUUUUAUAGGUCUACUAUUGAUAAAUGUGUAUUCCCAACUAUUUUUCAGUGGGAAUUUACCAUGAAACCAGAAGGUAGUGCAUGUGUUAUGAGAGUGUCAAGCAUGGGUUACUUUAUAUUUCUGAAUAUUUGUUUUCCUUCAUAAUUCACCAAGGGGGAUAUCUCUUUAUUUUAUUCUUAAAUCUUAUGUACGAGAGAUUGAGUGAAGGAAAUGGCUUUCCAGGGACCAGCAAGUACACGUUUGCCAGAUUAAAAAAAAUUCAGAAAGAAGACGCUACAAAGGAUGGCAAAUAAAUUCAUAAGAUUAUAUACUAUGUUUGGAAAAGCAUGAUCCAUACAUAAACCCAUUGUCUGUUAAAGUGAAGCUUGGCCUACUGAAGUCUCAAACUUACACUAAGCAGCAUAUAUGAAAUGAGAUAAUUCCACCUCUAAUUGUUCUAACAUUUCAUUUGAACUUCACAUUUGUGUAGACUGUAGUUGAAAAGACUAGCAUGGAGUGAUGGAGGUAAGAUGACAUCACUGGCCUUAAAUUUUUAUGUUGAUAGGGGUCAAGCAUCUUGCAGUACGAUGAGCUGAAACCUGGACUGAUUCGGUGAGUUUUAAAUGGCCCUUUUAUAUGUUUUAAGAACAUCAGUAAACAUUAGUAAAUGGAAUGUGAAGUUGUCAAUGGCAAGCAUACCAUUUGUGUAUGCUGAUUUUAGAAUCACUUUGAUAGAUCUUCACGUACAUUGAUUUGCGAUUUCAGCAUUACUCAAAAGUGCAGCUAAUCAAUGCCGCAAUGAUACUGGGCAGAUGUUCGUUUCAUAGUUAUCUUUCCAUCACUAGCGAGUAAGUGGUAUGCAGCUGCUCAGUUUUGCUUUCUUCAUAUAACCUCGGUUAGCUAAUUCAAUUUGAAGUAAAUAUUUAGUUAUCCUUCCAAUUAAUGUUGUUCAGAUGUUUAGUUCUCUGUUGCAUGUUGCAUAGUACAACUGUUCUAAACUUUUGUUUCUGUCUCAGUUAUUUUAAUCGUGUAACUAAUUUCCUUUGAAAUUUGUUGUGGAGGCAAGUUGGGAAUGUAUUCCUUGUUAAUUUGGUGGAUGUACCGCUGUGGUAAAGGAUACAUGCUAACUAAAUCUUUUUUUCCUCGUGUGAAGUGUUCAGAAAUUUCUCCAAUACAAUUCAUAUGCUUGACAAGGUGCAGGCAGUGAGUAACACAUGGACUGAAGGAGCAUUUUUACAGCAGUUUCAAGCAGUGGCAGGUCGACAAUUACAACGAUUUGCCUGAUUGCCUCCGACUAGGGUCGAAGGCGUCGCCACAGGUGAUCAGGACAAGCUCCGAUCCUCUCGCAAUCCCGGGCUUUUUUCUUCGAGAUUGGGCUGAUGAUAAUAUAGUGGUUUGGUUGCAUGAAGUACACACCAGGGUAUUAAAAAGUAAAUUUGGGAGAAAGAAAUAUCUCAUUCAA